CCGGCUUUUUCACUACAGUAUAUAUUAUUAAUAUUAUUUCCUAUUUUCUAUUAUCUAAAAGAAGAAAGAGAAGUAGAAUCACAGAGAUGAGAUGAGAUAUUAUUAAAAUAUCGUGAGCUUUUAAUUUGCAUCCUUUAUUAAUUUUAUUCUUUGAAGCAAGUUUAUAAUUCCUAGUUAAAGGGAUUAUUUUAUUAUUUUCAGAGAUGAGAUUGGUGAUAAAUAAGAAAUAUUAUUAGUCGACUUAUCGCUCGACUAAUCGAAGUGACGGAUGUUAUUUAAUUAUUUAUCUAUGAGCUUUUUAUUUUAAUAGUGAUGAUUUAAUAUUAAGUCAUGAAUUUGAGAUCAUAUUUGAGAUAGCAAGAAUUUUAUUUUAGCAAAUUCAUUUCCUAAUUUUAGGAAUGAAUUUAUUUGGGAUUUUAUCUCACAAGAAAUUUGAGUUAAAGUAACCUUUGAAGUUUUAUUUAUUUAUUUUAAAAUUUUCUAUUUCACUUGUGUCUAUGGAUUUUGGUUUGAUAUAUGCACAAGGAGUAAUAUGGAGUGGAUUUUAUAACAUUUUCCUUAAAACUUUAUUAAUAAAAUAGCAUGUAUAUCUAGUUUUUGGAUUAGAACAAGAAAAAGCUUAUGGGAGAAGUCAUUACUUUCUUUAUCCUUAUCUUCCCUACGACUUUCCCUUUCAUGCGUAUAAUCUCCAUUCUUCUUUUACUUCAAGAAAACAUGAAAACCUACUUUUCAUUUUAGUUCCUUGCUCAGACGCUAUUUUCUCCCACUUGUUCUUUCAUUUCUUUUGUUGUUUCCUCACCAAGCUUUCGGAACAAUUGAAUCCUCUUAUAAUCAUCCAAGAGUACAGGUUCGAGUGGCUUUAUAAAGUAAACAAGCAAGGAUCUCUACUUCAUUAAGCAUACCAGGUUGAGCAAUGGCUGAUGAAGAUGAAGUGAUGAGCGGAGCUUUUGUCAUAAGUUUAAUAAAUGGACUCUUGGAUACAUGUCUUCAUACAUGUAAUCAGAUUAUGUUAUUCCGCUGCAUACUCUCAAGUAAUAUGUCUUUAAGCUAAGUCGGGUUCAUCCGAACUUACGAGUUAAUCGAGUCCUUGCGACUAAACAACAGUUAUCUUAUGAUUGUCCCUCCUUAACAAUGAUU